rnacentral:rRNA from 1 species
UACAGAGGUGGCAAGCGUUGUUCGGAAUUACUGGGCGUAAAGGGCGCGUAGGCGGUUCGUCAAGUCCUGUGUGAAAUCCCCCGGCUCAACUGGGGAACUGCACAGGAAACUAGCGGGCUUGAGUUCGGGAGAGGGAAGCGGAAUUCCGGGUGUAGCGGUGAAAUGCGUAGAUAUCAGGAGGAACACCGAUGGCGAAGGCAGGUCUCUGGGCCAUAACUGACGCUGAGAAGCGAAAGCAUGGGGAGCGAACAGG